ACGCUCGACACCUACGGAGGCAGCAGUUGGGAAUAUUGGACAAUGGAGGAAACUCUGAUCCAGUGACGCCGCGUGAAGGAAGAAGGUCUUCGGAUUGUAAACUUAUUUUGUCAGGGAAGAAAAAUGACUGUACCUGAAGAAAAAGCACCGGCUAACUACGUGCCAGCAGCCGCGGUAAUCUGAGGCGGGCUGGCAAGGC
rnacentral:rRNA from 1 species